UGGGGAAUUUUUGACAAUGGGGGAAACCCUGAUCCAGCCAUCCCGCGUGUGCGAUGAAGGCCUUCGGGUUGUAAAGCACUUUUUGCAGGAAAGAAACGUCAUGGGUUAAUACCCCGUGAAACUGACGGUACCUGCAGAAUAAGCACCGGCUAACUACGUGCCAGCAGCCGCGGUAAUACGUAGGGUGCAAGCGUUAAUCGGAAUUACUGGCCGUAAAGCGUGCGCAGGCGGUUCGGAAAGAAAGAUGUGAAAUCCCAGAGCUCAACUUGGGAACUGCAUUUUUAACUACAGGGCUAGGGGGUGUAAGAGGGAGGUGGAAUUCCGCGUGUAGCAGUGAAAUGCGUAGAUAUGCGGAGAAACACGGAUGGGGAAGGCAGCCUCCGGGGAUAACACUGACGCUCAUGCACGAAAGGGUGGGGAGCAAACAGG
rnacentral:rRNA from 1 species